rnacentral:rRNA from 1 species
UACGGAGGGGGCUAGCGUUGCUCGGAAUCACUGGGCGUAAAGGGCGCGUAGGCGGCUUUAUAAGUCGGGGGUGAAAGCCUGUGGCUCAACCACAGAAUUGCCUUCGAUACUGUAGAGCUUGAGACCGGAAGAGGUAAGUGGAACUGCGAGUGUAGAGGUGAAAUUCGUAGAUAUUCGCAAGAACACCAGUGGCGAAGGCGGCUUACUGGUCCGGUUCUGACGCUGAGGCGCGAAAGCGUGGGGAGCAAACAGG